ensembl:lncRNA
UGUUGAACAAAAUGCAUUCAAAACAAACUCAAUCUUCAAAAAUAGUUUGUUGUGCUUAAUUUGUGCAGCCUAUCUGAGGGAAUAAUAAACAAAGCACUUAAUAAUGCAGAAAUAAACAGUAAUUCAGAUCCUUUGAAAAGUUUGUGUUUGUUCCAGUAUUAAGGGAGAGGUUCUUGGCAGCUGUAAAGAUUUUUGGAUGAAUAACUGCACCCCAGACACAUGGGAAUCAUGCGCCUGGGUCUUGGUUCCUCUUGUGUUCAAUUCCACAGAGAGGCUUCAGGUAAUGGACACACAGGACAGGACAGGGCAGGGGCUGUUGGUGCUGUUGAUCAUUAUGAGAAUGAUGAUGAUUGCCAUGGUGGUGAGGAGCUUGCUCAUCUGAUAGACAAAGAUAUGGAGGUGGAACCAGAGUCUGACAAGCAUGUUGAGAGACAUCAGGGCCACAGUGUGAAGAGAAUGCUGCGUGAGAGGCCUACAGUGCGUCCGGUUGCUGAAGAGCCCAAGCAGCUACAGGUAAGAAGUUGGCAAACUGCAGGAUCUGCAGAGAGCCCAAACUCCUCAUGUUUAUGUUCCUUAAAUUUAUAUUUAUAAUACACUAACUGAAUUAAAAUAAGGUAUAGUUUAAAGCGGGUCCAGUUUGUCCAGAUGGGAAACAAUAGUGUAAAUAAAUAGAUUGCGUGAGUGCAACAUUUUCUCUGAAAUAAACCAGUGUAAUUGCUUUGAUAUUGAAAAAUUAUUCUUAAUUUUAUUUAUUUUU